rnacentral:rRNA from 1 species
UACAGAGGGUGCGAGCGUUAAUCGGAAUUACUGGGCGUAAAGCGCGCGUAGGCGGCUUUGCAAGUCGGGUGUGAAAGCCCUGGGCUCAACCCAGGAAGUGCACUCGAUACUGCGAGGCUAGAGUAUCGGAGAGGUUGGUGGAAUUCUCGGUGUAGAGGUGAAAUUCGUAGAUAUCGAGAGGAACACCGGUGGCGAAGGCGGCCAACUGGACGAAUACUGACGCUGAGACUCGAAAGCGUGGGGAGCAAACAGG